rnacentral:rRNA from 1 species
GGUAGGAUUACCCGCUGAACUUAAGCAUAUCAAUAAGCGGAGGA